rnacentral:rRNA from 1 species
CCCAGUAGCGGGGGAUAACUACUCGAAAGAGUGGCUAAUACCGCAUACGCCCUACGGGGGAAAGGGGGGGAUCGCAAGACCUCUCACUAUUGGAGCGGCCGAUAUCGGAUUAGCUAGUUGGUGGGGUAAAGGCUCACCAAGGCAACGAUCCGUAGCUGGUUUGAGAGGACGACCAGCCACACUGGGACUGAGACACGGCCCAGACUCCUACGGGAGGCAGCAGUGGGGAAUUUUGGACAAUGGGGGAAACCCUGAUCCAGCCAUCCCGCGUGUAUGAUGAAGGCCUUCGGGUUGUAAAGUACUUUUGGCAGAGAAGAAAAGGUAUCCCCUAAUACGGGAUACUGCUGACGGUAUCUGCAGAAUAAGCACCGGCUAACUACGUGCCAGCAGCCGCGGUAAUACGUAGGGUGCAAGCGUUAAUCGGAAUUACUGGGCGUAAAGCGUGUGUAGGCGGUUCGGAAAGAAAGAUGUGAAAUCCCAGGGCUCAACCUUGGAACUGCAUUUUUAACUGCCGAGCUAGAGUAUGUCAGAAGGGGGUAGAAUUCCACGUGUAGCAAUGAAAUGCGUAGAUAUGUGGAGGAAUACCGAUGGCGAAGGCAGCCCCCUGGGAUAAUACUGACGCUCAGACACGAAAGCGUGGGGAGCAAACAGGAUUAAAUACCCUGGGUAGUCCACGCCCCUAAACGAUGUCAACUAGCU